rnacentral:rRNA from 1 species
AUAGCGUAUAUUAAAGUUGUUGCGGUUAAAAAGCUCGUAGUUGAAUUUCGGAAUUGAUGCAUCGGUCGUGCCUUAAGGGGCAUGAACUGGUGUAGCCAAUUUCUCAUCUUCUGGUGAAUUGUGAUGUUCUUAAUUGGGUGUCUCAAUGAACUGGAAUUUUUUACUUUGAAAAAAUUAGAGUGUUUAAAGCAGGCAGUGAUUUGCUUGAAUACAUUAGCAUGGAAUAAUGAAAUAGGACGGUGGUUCUGUUUUGUUGGUUUCUAAGAUCACGUAAUGAUUAAUAGGGACAGUUGGGGGCAUUAGUAUUCAAUUGUCAGAGGUGAAAUUCUUGGAUUUAUUGAAGACUAACUAUUG